rnacentral:rRNA from 1 species
UACAGGGGGGGCAAGCGUUGUUCGGAAUUACUGGGCGUAAAGGGCUUGUAGGUGGCCAACUAAGUCACACGUGAAAUCCCCAGGCUUAACCUGGGAACUGCGUGUGAUACUGGAUGGCUUGAAUCCGGGAGAGGGAUGCGGAAUUCCAGGUGUAGCGGUGAAAUGCGUAGAUAUCUGGAGGAACACCGGUGGCGAAGGCGGCAUCCUGGACCAACACUGACACUGAGGAGCGAAAGCCAGGGGAGCAAACGGG